rnacentral:rRNA from 1 species
UCAUGCAAAAAUGAAGAACGUAGCAAAAUGCGAUACGUGGUGUGAAUUGCAGGAUCCCGUGAACCAUCGAGUUUUUGAACGCAAGUUGAGCCCGAAGCCUUUAGGCCGAGGGCACGUCUGCCUGGGCGUCACGCACCGUUGCCCCCCAAACCCCCUCAGUCCUCCACGGAGGAUUGGAGAGGCGCGUGGGGGGCGUAAAGUGGCUUCCCGUCGGCUUUGUCCCUCGGUUGGCCUAAAAAUGGAUCCCUAGCCGCGGUGCGCGCGGCAGUCGGUGGUCAUCGAUCCCUUUCGUUACCCCGCCGCGCGCUCACGUACCGAGAAGGAUGUCACACUAGUAAACCAGACCCCUCUCUUCAGAAGAGCGGAGCUUACAUACGCGACCCCAGGUCAGGUGGGGCUUCCCGCUCAA